AGGUGUUCUGUACCCUAUCCACGUGUGCUGUACGCUAUCCAGGUGUGCUCUCACCUGUCCAGGUGUGCCUGUCGCUCACGGCCAAGCGCCUGGCUCGCUGCAGCUGCCCAGGUGUUCUGUACCCUAUCCACGUGUGCUGUACCCUAUGCAGGUGUGCUGUACGCUAUCCAGGUGAUCCCUCACCUGUCCAGGUGUUCUGUACCCUAU